UUUCCAUAUCUGAUAACCCUUUGCAGAAAAAAAUUUCUGCCAAGUAAUUUUCUCUUACCAGAAAAUUAGUAAGUCACAUUGUAACUUUAUUGAUAGUGAAAUAUAUCAUUCUAAGUAAAUAGAACUGCCUUUUUCUUAGUCUAGAAACAAGCUAUUACACAGCAGCAUGCCAAUUAAUAUUUCUGUGUGUUUUCCCACAGGCUGUUGGUAUCCAUGUGAGAGUAGAUAAGGGGACUUAAAUUAGCACUUCAUUUUCCUUGGUGGCUCUAUUAAUCCAAAAGCCCACUGAAGUCAACAGGAUUUUGCCUAUAGCAGAAAUGUUGUAAUGUUGCACUUAGAUUAUCUCCAUAGGAAAGUACAGCAGAAAGAUGUUUUAAACUGGCCCAAAUAGCUCAGUUACUUUCAGACACCCAACCUGGUUUAUUUUAAAACUUAGAAGUUUCACUAAUCUUUAAAUUGGUUUUAGCACAUCACUGGUAAUGCUUAUAAUAGUGGUAUAAGGCAUCAAAAAAAAAAGAUGACUUGUCUAGUUGAUAUUUAAUGAGUUUCCUCCCUUUCAUGGAAUAUUAAUUUUCUUUGGUUUUAUGGUUCCUUUAAAAUUAUGUCAGUAUACAAUAGCUCCCCUGUGUCCCUGACUAGGAAAUCACAAUGAACCAGUCCUGAAGCCUUUCUUCACUGAUCGCCAAUGCAGAUCUGAUUGCUCCAGAGACCUUCCUUCAGUCUCAGGGCAGAAGUAAAUGCUUCUCUAUGUGGGACACCAAUCAGAGUGGCAGGCAUUUCCUCUGAUCUGACUAAUCAUCACUGCAGGAUGAGAGUGAAGGAAAAAAUAGGAAAUAUUUAGAGACACUUUCUUUCUAAGGGCUGGGACCUUAGUCAUUAAAUAAUUCCCCUGAAGCUCUAUCCUCUCACAAAAAAAUCUGGUCAAGAACACCAUCCGUUAAGAUGUCUCUCACCUGGGUAUCUGGGCUGUAGAAUUAGAUAUAUUUGAUGCGGGAUCGGUGAGCCGAGGAGUCGAAAGAAAGAUUUCUUAGACUCUCAAGAUCUGGCAGUAGUGCUCUUUUAUUUAGAGAAUAGUGUGGAAUAGCAUGGGGACAGGACCCAUGGGCAGGCAGAGCUGGUGCGUGGGGACAGGACCCACGGGCAGUCAGAGCUCCUGCUGCUGCCCCCGCUGGCGUGGGGACAAGACCCAUGGGCAGGCAGAGCUCCUGCUGCUGCCCUGAGUUGAGGGUUAGGGCUAAUUUUAUAAGGCAUGGGUACGUGACUUAUUUUUACUGGAAAAAAAGAAAAGAUGAUGUAAAAAGUCAUUAAAUGAUUUCAGUGCAGAUGGGGUCUGGUUAUUGUGCGGUCAUAUAACUUUAGAUACGAAUCUGGCCAUAUAGAUCGGCAUGCAGGUGAGGAUGCCCCGGGCUUCUCUCCCUGGGGCAGUCCUAAUUCAUACCAUAAAAAAAGUCCACUGGGUCAUAUAGUUUGGCAUGUAGGCCAGGUCACCUUGGGCUUCUCUAGCUGGGGCAGCCUUAAUCCACAUCAUAUUCCAUUCUUUUUCCUUCUUUGGGAGAGUUCUUAUUUUCUUUCUGUCUCACUGCCCUAAUCUGCAAGGUGCUUUUCAGGAUUGCUGUGAGGAUUAAAUACAAUGAGACUGGAAAUGUGUCGCACACAGUAGCUCUCAAAAAAUAGAUGACAACAGUCAUCUAUUAAGCUACACAGGCAGUAGAGAAUAUCUGAUUUACAGAAAUAGACUCAAGAAGACAGCACUACAAGUCAAAGGAGAAUAGAAUGUAGCAGAAAGGACAUUGGAAACUGGAUUUGAACCAACAUUCUCAAUGUAAUCAGUUAUGUCAAUAGAGAAAGAAAUUUUCAUUUUUUUCAAGCUAGAAACAUGUCAACACUAUUGCUCAUACGUUGAUAUAUACAUUCAAUUUUUCUCUGCUUUUGAAAAAAGUGUUUUGCUUUCUUUAUCUCUAAAUUUUUCUUCCUUUUUUUCAUUUUCUUCUCCUUGUAUUUAAUCAUCAGGUGCUGUAUAUAAGGCACUGGAGAGCCAGAACUGAAUUAUGAAGAUCCUUAGAGAGUGACCUCAGUCUAAUGAAGAAGACAGAUAUAUAAAGCUACUUAGUGGGGGCAUACACAUUGUGUCCUACUCUUUUCCUUGGUUUUUAUUUCUAAUUAUUUUGCUUUGUUUCUAAAGUCUCAGUUUUAAAAGACAAAUCUGAUUCAAUUGUGUUUAGAUCAGAGAACGGACCCAGGGUGCCUAAUUCAGUCAUUCAGAGAUUAUUAUCCUAGUGCUUAGUUAAAGAUUAAAGUUGACUGAGGCUGUCAGGACAACUUUUACUGCUCCAAGAAACAAACCUUCAAGGAUUCCUUUUCAGAUGCUGAAGAACAACAAUUAAGUUGUUGAUGACACCAUCUCCACCCUCAACAACCAUCCCACACCCCAGUGGGGCUCUUCUGCUGGCAAAGUGUGGGGACCCUUAUUCCAUUCUUACUGACAGUUACUUCUUUCAUUACAGCAAGUUUCUAUGCCUGUAUACCUUAUAGUAGAUGGUGUGGGGGACUGGAAUUGGCCACCCCAAGAUAUGUCUCUUUGGCAUGAGGAUUAUUUUGGGCUGGUUACUUUUAAAAAACUGCAGACAGGAAAGAAACUCUGAAAAGUAGAAUUUACUUACCCUUUGUUAAGAGAUAUUUACAUUGUAAAGGAAAUCUCCAUCUGUAAAGGUGCCUCCCUCUCUGUACCAGGAAGGAGGGAUGACCUUACCUCUAGGAACUCUUACCAAUGUAGAAGGCAAGGACUGAAGUCUGCAUAAUAACCUGACUCUUGUUUACUGUACUUAUGUGGUACAUGAUCCCAUGAUCGACUUCCACCCCCCACCCCCAUCAUCCUCCUUUGCCUUUAGCUGAAGAUGAUAUUUAAGGUGGUGGUUUCAGCCAUUUUGGCAAGUUGCUCAGGUUGCCUGAGCCUCUCCCAUGUAUACACGUUAUAAAGCUUUGUUGAAUUUUCUCCUGUUAUUCUGUCUCAUGUGAAUUUAAUUCGUUCUCUGGCCACAAGAACACAGAGCAGGUAGAGGAAAUGUCUUCCUCCCCUACAAUGGUGAGGAGGCUUUUAAAAAAAUUGCACAAUUGGACUUUUUCACAGCUUGGCUACAUUCUGGCUUGGAUGUUCAGUAGUUCUUAAAACAGGCUUUAUAUCUUUUAAAGUCAAUUCCUUUUUAUAAAUGAAAGGAGAAAGAAGAUAGCAUUCAUGAAAUGCCUGUCCAGGUGUAAUAUAUCUCAUGAAGGAAACUGAAGACCUAAGACAAAGAUCAGCAAACGUAGUCUGUAAUUGUAGAGCUAGAUAGUAAAUAUUUUAGGUUUUGUACGCUGUACUCUUUCUGUUACAACUUUGCUAUUUUAGCAUGAAAGCAACCUUAGACAAUAUGUAAACAAAUGACUAUGCUGUGUUCCAAUAAAACUUUAUUGAUGAACCCUGAAACUUGAAUUUUAUAUGGUUUUCAUGAGUCAUGCAAUAUUAUUCUUCUUUUGAUCUUUUUUCAACCAGUUUAAGAUGUACGAACUGUUCUUAGCUCAAAGGUCAAAUAAAAAUAGGAGCCAGGCCAGAUUUUGGCUACAGGCCAUAGCUUACCAACCCCUGACCUGAGAUAUAAAGUACUUGUCUAAUCUGAACCAGAGCAAGAUCCCUAUCUUUUCAAUUGCAGCUCAAUACUCUCUUCACUAUGCCCCAUACCACUCUAUAGCCCACUAAAUAAGAGAGAUGCUGACAGUGAUGUGAGAACAAAAUCAUGAGAAAAUAGGGAGGAAAAAUUGAAGACACUUAGCCCAUAAAAACAAAGGGCACAUUUCCAAGUUUCAAUACUCCUUUGAUUGGGUAGGUACAUAGUCACAGGAGCUGGAUGAAGUUGGAUAGGUUUUAAUCUUAUCUUUGAGUUCAUUUUAGCUUGGAAUCAGUUGGGGAGUAGACAGGAGACAAGUCCUGUUCCAAUAGCAUGGAUUUCAGCAGGAAUGGCCACAUUAAGUACAAAUGGUAGCAAUUCAGGAAACAGGGCCAUCACCCGUCACCUCAUUUUGUUGCCGCCAACAUUUUACUCAUGCUGCUACCCAUCUCUGAAAUCUUCUCUAUAGUACCAUCAUCUCAAACUGAGAUUCCAUCCCGUUUUUAAGAGCCAUAUUAAAUGACUCCUUUCCUUGAAUCCUUCUCGGUUUCCUCCACAUAGAAGAAAUAGCUCUCUACUUUGUCCUCUAUAAUCAUGUUAUAUUUUGCUCGAGACGUAUUUGUGCAUCAGAUAUACAAAAGACAGGUAGCAACUCAUCCCUUAAGAAAGGAAGUCCAAGUGGAGACUAGAGAGAAUCAGUUCAUCAAGGUGAGAAGUGUGGGCUCAGAGCAUAGCUCUAGAUGGGUACUGACUAAGCUGUAGAAACUGAACUGAAGCCAAAAUAUCCCAAGGUGUUAUAGGUUUAGGAAUGUUUCAGUCAAUCUUGAAGUUCAAUCUGCAGGUAUGACAAUGUAGUAAUGGCUCCAAGCCAAAGCUACAAUUUGAGAGUCAACCAGGCUGCAGCCAUAUUUCCAAAGGUUUUGCUCUUACUGGAUAGUGAAUAGAGGUUAUGCAGAGACUAUAGUCCUAGGAGGAUCAAAGUCAUGAAAACUGAGGCUCAGAACAGAGUUCUCAGACAAAUAGGGUAAUAGUAAUUAUAAUAACAGUAAUAAUAAUGAUAAUAAUAUUAGCUAGUAGUCUUGAGUAAUUAUACCAUGAGUGCCACUGUUAGGUAUUUUAUAUGCAUUAACUCAUUUAAUCCUCAAAACAAUCUUAUGAGGUAGGUAUUACUAUAGCCCCAAAUUUAUAUAUGAAGAAGUUAAUCCUUCCAAAUCUUGAGUAUCUAUCCCGAGGUUAAAUAGAUAGUGUUGGUCUGCUGGAAAAAGGACCCCAACACAAGUAUUCCUAUAAGCCAGUAGAAUUAACCAGAUGAAUCAACACAAGAGGAGUUAAUGAGGACUGAAAAUGUAGUUUAUCUCUGAUUAACCAGUUUUUAGGUACAACUAGAGUAAAGUGUUCUAAAACUAUAUAGAAGUACGUCAAAUGUGUGAUUUUCCCCAAAUCUUGGGUAUGAGUCAUAAUUCUAAACCCUAUUCACAAUAAAAGGCUGGAGCUUGUGAUAGUCAAUUGAGGUUGGCUUAGAAAUUACAGCAAAUAGGGUGCAUAGGUUUGUCCAGUGGGAAAGGUAAAUAUGCAAAGGCAAGGGAACAAGACAAGAGUUUAUAGACGAGACGAGUGAGGGAAAGUAAAUUUUAUAGGAUGUUUGCCAGGUUUCUGGUUUAGAUGAUUAAAUGGAUAGUAAAGACUUUCAAAUGGGAAGGAAUAGUGAAUGGUUUUAAAUUUCUCAAAGAUGCCAAAUAAUACAAGGACUAAAAAAUUAACAGUGACAGCAAUUCCACUUCUGAGUAUUUAUUUGAAGAAAAUGAAAAUACUAACUCAAAAAGAUAUCUGCACCCCCAUGUUUAUUGGAGCAUAAUUUACAAUAGCCAAGAUAUGGAAACAAUCUAAGUGCCCAUUGAUCUACAAAUGGAUAAAGAAAACAUUAUGUAUACACACACACACACACACACACACAGUGGAAUAUUAUUCAGCCAUAAAAAGAAUGAAAUCUUGCCAUUUGCAACAACAUGGAUGGACUUUGAGGUUAUUAUGCUAAGUGAAAUAAGUCAGGCGGAGAAAGACAAAUACAUCACGAUGUCACUUAUAUGUGGAAUCUAAAAAAGAAAAAAAAGGCUCGCAGAGAACAGAAUGAUGGUUGCCGGAGGUGGAGGUUGUUGAAUAGGCAAAAAUGGGUGAAAGGGGUCAAAAAAAUUAAUGUUGAAUUUUUCAGUUAGAAAGUCUUUGGUAACCUUGACUUAUACUCUUCUAGUAGAAGGAUAGGGCGAGAAUGCAGAAGUCCAGGGAUUGAAUAUAAAACAGGAGUGGAAAUAAUGAGUAAACUCUCAGAAAGAAGUCUCAAGAAUCAUACCCUAUGCCACAUGACAAGGCAAGAUUUCCUCAAGGUAGAACACUACUUAAAGCAAAUAUGAGGUCUCUGAAAUGUUUUUAAAAAUAUAAAAGCUUCAAGAGUAUAUAUGCUAACUUCUCUUCAGCCUUAAUGUCUCAAUUUAGAUACCAACUCCUCUAGAAAGACUCUGCUAAGACUGAUUGGGAGCCCCUCCAAUGUACUCUUACUGCACCUUGUGACUUAUAACAAUUUAAUGUGUAUCAUGUUUCAUUGAAAUAUCUUAUUUUCCCUUUUUGUCUGUUUCAUGAAGAUAAUAAUAAUACUUGCUUCACAGGGUUACUUAGAGAACCAGUGUUUGACUCACAGGAAGCACCACAUCAUGUCAGGUCCUGUUAUUAUCAUCAUUGUCAUCAUGAUAACUGGAUGAAUCUAAACUACCUAAGUGAGGGGGAAGUCUUAUCCACAUUAUCUAGAAUAAGUAGGAGCUUUCAAUAAAUAUUUGUUGAGUUACUGAAUAGGUGGAGAAACACAUUUACUAAUUAUCAAUUGAUUAAUAAAUGCCAUAGAAAUAAACUUUGAAGUUGAUUUUGAGAUUAUUUCCUGCUUUCCCAAAAGGAAGACCAAUAGCUGUAUACCAGAUUGAAAAGGACAAUAUUUCUCGCCAGAACCAUGAAGAUCUCUAAGUGCCCCAAAUAUCUAGUAAUUAAGCAAAAGUAAAAUUAGCCAUCAAAACAUUUAAAUUUAUGCCAUAAGAACUUACCUUUCUGAGAAAGCUUCUCUCACAGGGUAGAAUUUCCAAGACACUUCAAAUCAAAGGGUAGGUGGUUUUGUGAGUAUCUUGAGACAUAAACCCUCUAGAGAACAAUUUGGCAAUAUCUAUCAUAAGCCUUAAAAAUUCAGCAAUUCCUUUCCUAGAAAUAUCCUAAAAUAGUAAGUAAGAACAUGAAUAAAUGUUUGGUUUUAAAGAUACUUAUAACAAC
rnacentral:lncRNA from 1 species